rnacentral:snRNA from 1 species
GGAUGUGAGGGCGAUCUGGCUGCGACAUCUGUCACCCCGUUGGUUUCCAGGGUCGAUUCAGCUGAUAGGCCUGGCUAGGUGGGUGUCCCCUUCCUCCCCCAUCCUUCUGUGCAUCUUUCCCAAAGCUGUGCACUUGAUCGAAGGGGAUGACCUUCCCCAAAUAGAGAGGACCACUCUUUGGUCAAGGGUCUGCAAGUAGCUGCGCUCCCCUGUGAGAACCUCCAAACAAGCUCGCAAAGCCAAUCUGUGCUACAUAGCCAGUUCAGCCCACCCACA